rnacentral:lncRNA from 10 species
UCUCAGUGUGAGUGUCACAGAAACAUAUGUGGCCUUUCCUCUGGAAAGGUGAGACGGUGCUCAUGAAAAUGACUUGGCUAUCACCAACAAGGGAGGUGAUUUGUUCCACAGCCAGCUCUCCCCUCUACCGGUCCUCAGCCAGUGAAAGAAGAAUGACUUGGAAGAUGACAUCAAAUCAGGUUCAAGCCAAUUUUGCCAACAGACCAGAUUGGAAUAUCGAUUUAGCACUCAGAUAGGAAAGCCAACCUUUUGCCAGAAUGGCCAAAAUACCAUCUGUAGCGAAUGAAACCUGAUUGCUUUGCACAAAGUCUUCUGGAUCCCAGUUUUUGGACAAGGUCUGUGAGGGUGAAAAUGCAUCCAGAAGCCAGACUCUCCUUAAAUCACCCUCAUUCUUGAAACAAUGAGGAAAAGGGAAGAAAAAGUCCACCUACAAAUGACAAAUGAUCAACACAGCUUGCUUGAUAAGUGAAGCUGACUAAUCUAUUACCUCUGAAAUGAUUUCAAGGUGUUACAGAAUGAGCUUGCCUAUAUUUCACAUUUGCAGGGACAUAAGGCAAUAAAUUCUAAGCAUGCUUCGUUGCCCUGUAAUAAGUUACUCACAUCAUCUUCACACUAGUUGAUUACUGAUCAAAUCGUUAGGUGACCAUGAUUGAGACUGCAAGCAUAUUUUUGCCAAAGGAUAUACAUCACAAAAUGUUUUCACAGUAGAAAGACUCAAGGAAAUACACAGUUGGAAGUUCCUGAACUCUGAUGUCGGUGGAAUAACACUUGAUUUAUUCAAUCACAGCACAUUAUUUGCAACCUGUGUAAUUUGCAUGUCAUACAUUUCUACAGAAUCCGAGAACAUUCAUGUUUUAUCUAAUUUAUCUCCAUAAUUUCCCUGGCUGGAGAAAAGAAAGUGCUGAUUGGCAAACCUGACCCAAGUUAUCAUGUUUUGCAAAUAAGGACCUCACUGCACAAAAAGGUGGAUUAGUUUGUCCCAGGACAUUCGCACACAAAAUCUAAAUUAUCAAGACUAUAUUGAUUUUCUCCUUCACCGUUACAUCUUAAAGACCCUGAAGUAGAAAAUGAAGGCACACCUAUUGGUGGUGGGUGGUAAUUGCCAAGUAAUCCUUCUCCCUUCGUGCUGCAUGGCAACCCUUCACUCAGAAAUUUCUUAACAGUGCAGAGCAACACAACACACACAGUUUCUCAUUACCCAUGUGCCCCUAUCUGUGCUAGCACCUGGGAGGUUAACAGAUGAAUGUGUCAAACUGCAGCUCUCCAGAGCCUCUUCUCAUUAUGGGAGGGAUAUAGUUAGACAUAUACAAGAUACAGCUAAAUAUGUAAAAAUGUUGGCACUGUCUUACACACUAUUUCUUCAUUUAUUUAACAAAAAUAAAAACAAAAACCGAUGAAUAAAAAGUUAGCAGAACCAAUCUCCUCUUUUCUAAUUCUAAACCCUCAAGCAUUAAUGUGAUCAAACUGAUGUGGAAACUUCUUCUACCUUUUUCUGUGCUUGUGCAAACUUAUACAAACCUGUGUUGACUUUUAAAAUUUUCUCAAUGGAAUCAUACUAUAUAAAGUGCACUGAAAGUAGCUUUUUUUUUCUGUAGUAAUAUCAUGGACAUUCUUCUAAGCAUAUAUGGAGAAAAUUAACUUGUUGUUUUUAAAUUUCAUUUUAUUCAUUUUUUUUUUUUAUUUUGUGGUGGGCAAGGUCUCACUCAGUUGCCUAGGCUGAAGUGCAGUGGCACAAUCACUGCUCACUGAAACCUCGACCUCCUAGGC